rnacentral:rRNA from 1 species
CGGAGAAUGUUAUCACGGGAGACACACGGCGGGUGCUAACGUCCGUCGUGAAGAGGGAAACAACCCAGACCGCCAGCUAAGGUCCCAAAGUCAUGGUUAAGUGGGAAACGAUGUGGGAAGGCCCAGACAGCCAGGAUGUUGGCUUAGAAGCAGCCAUCAUUUAAAGAAAGCGUAAUAGCUCACUGGUCGAGUCGGCCUGCGCGGAAGAUGUAACGGGGCUAAACCAUGCACCGAAGCUGCGGCAGCGACGCUGAUGCGUUGUUGGGUAGGGGAGCGUUCUGUAAGCCUGCGAAGGUGUGUCGUGAGGCAUGCUGGAGGUAUCAGAAGUGCGAAUGCUGACAUAAGUAACGAUAAAGCGGGUGAAAAGCCCGCUCGCCGGAAGACCAAGGGUUCCUGUCCAACGUUAAUCGGGGCAGGGUGAGUCGACCCCUAAGGCGAGGCCGAAAGGCGUAGUCGAUGGGAAACGGGUUAAUAUUCCCGUACUUGGUGUUACUGCGAAGGGGGGACGGAGAAGGCUAUGUUGGCCGGGCGACGGUUGUCCCGGUUUAAGCGUAUAGGUGUGUGUUCCAGGUAAAUCCGGUUCACUUUAACAC